rnacentral:rRNA from 1 species
GAUGAACGCUGGCGGCGUGCCUAAUACAUGCAAGUCGAGCGAACGGACGAGAAGCUUGCUUCUCUGAUGUUAGCGGCGGACGGGUGAGUAACACGUGGAUAACCUACCUAUAAGACUGGGAUAACUUCGGGAAACCGGAGCUAGUACCGGAUAAUAUUUUGAACCGCAUGGUUCAAAAGUGAAAGACGGUCUUGCUGUCACUUAUAGAUGGAUCCGCGCUGCAUUAGCUAGUUGGUAAGGUAACGGCUUACCAAGGCAACGAUGCAUAGCCGACCUGAGAGGGUGAUCGGCCACACUGGAACUGAGACACGGUCCAGACUCCUACGGGAGGCAGCAGUAGGGAAUCUUCCGCAAUGGGCGAAAGCCUGACGGAGCAACGCCGCGUGAGUGAUGAAGGUCUUCGGAUCGUAAAACUCUGUUAUUAGGGAAGAACAUAUGUGUAAGUAACUGUGCACAUCUUGACGGUACCUAAUCAGAAAGCCACGGCUAACUACGUGCCAGCAGCCGCGGUAAUACGUAGGUGGCAAGCGUUAUCCGGAAUUAUUGGGCGUAAAGCGCGCGUAGGCGGUUUUUUAAGUCUGAUGUGAAAGCCCACGGCUCAACCGUGGAGGGUCAUUGGAAACUGGAAAACUUGAGUGCAGAAGAGGAAAGUGGAAUUCCAUGUGUAGCGGUGAAAUGCGCAGAGAUAUGGAGGAACACCAGUGGCGAAGGCGACUUUCUGGUCUGUAACUGACGCUGAUGUGCGAAAGCGUGGGGAUCAAACAGGAUUAGAUACCCUGGUAGUCCACGCCGUAAACGAUGAGUGCUAAGUGUUAGGGGGUUUCCGCCCCUUAGUGCUGCAGCUAACGCAUUAAGCACUCCGCCUGGGGAGUACGACCGCAAGGUUGAAACUCAAAGGAAUUGACGGGGACCCGCACAAGCGGUGGAGCAUGUGGUUUAAUUCGAAGCAACGCGAAGAACCUUACCAAAUCUUGACAUCCUUUGACAACUCUAGAGAUAGAGCUUUCCCCUUCGGGGGACAAAGUGACAGGUGGUGCAUGGUUGUCGUCAGCUCGUGUCGUGAGAUGUUGGGUUAAGUCCCGCAACGAGCGCAACCCUUAAGCUUAGUUGCCAUCAUUAAGUUGGGCACUCUAAGUUGACUGCCGGUGACAAACCGGAGGAAGGUGGGGAUGACGUCAAAUCAUCAUGCCCCUUAUGAUUUGGGCUACACACGUGCUACAAUGGACAAUACAAAGGGCAGCGAAACCGCGAGGUCAAGCAAAUCCCAUAAAGUUGUUCUCAGUUCGGAUUGUAGUCUGCAACUCGACUACAUGAAGCUGGAAUCGCUAGUAAUCGUAGAUCAGCAUGCUACGGUGAAUACGUUCCCGGGUCU